rnacentral:rRNA from 1 species
AGCAGCCGCCACGGUAAUACGUAGGUGGCAAGCGUUGUCCGGAAUUAUUGGGCGUAAAGGGCUCGCAGGCGGUUUCUUAAGUCUGAUGUGAAAGCCCCCGGCUCAACCGGGGAGGGUCAUUGGAAACUGGGAAACUUGAGUGCAGAAGAGGAGAGUGGAAUUCCACGUGUAGCGGUGAAAUGCGUAGAGAUGUGGAGGAACACCAGUGGCGAAGGCGACUCUCUGGUCUGUAACUGACGCUGAGGAGCGAAAGCGUGGGGAGUGAACAGGAUUAGAUACCCCGGUAGUCCCUGUCUCUUAUAC